UGGACUUUACCGAGGAUGAGAAUGGAUCAAUUAUUAAAUCUUGGAUGGAAAUUUCUUUUACCUAUUUUGCUGGGCAAUCUCUUAUUAACAACCUCUUCUCAACUUGUUUCACUAUAA
rnacentral:rRNA from 1 species